AGAGUUUUAGAGUGGGAAGGGUUAACAAGUGAAAGUUUGAAAGAGUAAGGAAGCUAGUGUAACUCUAGCGCUGUGCCGCAACCGUAGAGCCGGGAACUUCCUGUCAAACUGCCUUUGAU
rnacentral:ncRNA from 2 species